UAAAAUGGGAGGUAAAUUUCUCCUAAGGCUAAAUAACGGCGAGAGACCGAUAGCGAACAAGUACCGUGAGGGAAAGAUGAAAAGAACUUUGAAAAGAGAGUUAAACAGUACGUGAAAUUGUUGAAAGGGAAACGAUUGAAGCCAGUCGUACCUUCGGGUAAUCAGCCUUUCGGGUGCGAUUCUGUGGAGUGUGAGGAGCUUAACACCUUCAUGCUUUGCAUAUUUGUGCUCUUGGGUGUACUUGCUCGUGUGGUUGGUUAACAUCGAUUUUGAUUAUCAUAAAAUGAUUGGAGGAAUGUAGCUUCGAUCUCGUAUUGAAGUGUUAUAGCCUCCGGUAGAUGUGAUGAUCGAGAUUGAGGAUUGCAACGGAUACCCUUCGGGGCUACCUGUCUGGUCUCUGAUCGUUGCUCUGGUGCCGAAAGCGUGCUUACGGUCAUCUAAGUCGAUGGUCAAUAGGUUAGAACGGGUUAA
rnacentral:rRNA from 1 species